AUUUAAGAUCUACUCUCUGAACAUGCCUGAUCUCAUCUGAUCUCAGAAGCUAAGCAGGGUCAAGCCUGGUUAGUACUUGGAUAGGAGACCACCUAGGAAUACCAGGUGCUGUAGGCA
rnacentral:rRNA from 1 species